AGCUCGUGCAGUACAGUCGUUCGUUUCGCUCGCAUCUGACCAGACCCAUUACACUGUAGGCUAACAGGCAACAAGGCAACGCGAUGUUGACAGUUAACAGGGAACUACCAACAGCACAGUGUAAUCAUUAAAACUUUUGCGUGUCUCUUUUCGAAAGUUUACAAGGCAAGGAAAAUGAUACCAACUGCACCUUCAGCGCCGAUGAUCGCUUCCAUUGGUAAAAUAUAAUUCAAGCGAAUAUUUAUUCCCUACAUCCUUUCUCCUAAGCUGAAAUCGAUCCCCACCGCAUGCUGGUGAUUCAGAAACGAUAUCGAACGCACCCACACACAGAAACACAGUCAAGUACAAGAGCAUAUAGCACAUGAACACACACACACAUAAGCCAUGGCUCAUUGCAAACAUAUCCUGGCUGGACGAAGCGAGCGAGCGGGCCGCGGUUUGCGAACAGCAGCUGUGCAUUAUCUCAGCCAUUCCUCACACCAACUGCUUGAUGGCUGCUGAGUCCAUUCGUCCGUUUCAUGGUUUCACUACUCACACACACGUAUACUUUUCCUAAGCAAACAUUAAAUCCAUCGCAGCACGAUGCUCUUCCGCACGGGAGGUGGCAAAGGGCCGCUUGCUUGGGACCGUUCACCCUCACGCCGUAAGAAAAUCCUUGCCCGAGAACUUUCCUGUACAGCGAACACACAUGAACAGUGAAAACAAUCGAAAACGUUAAGAAUCCUCAAGUAGGUGGCUUACAUCGGUGCAUGCAGCCGUACCAGGAUCGGUGGAUUAUCCUGGUUCUCAUUCCUAUGGCAGUGUGAAUGUAUGGGCGUAUUUUUUUUUAUUUUUGUUCUUUCUUUAACCUCCUUCUUUCCCUUUUACCGGGGCAAAGAGGAUAAAAUCACAUUACUUGAGCCUAGUGUAAACAAAGAAAUAAUGCUUACUAGAUCUUAUCGCACCGAAAAAGUGGUGCCGACCAUUGG